CCCAACUCACAUGGUAUAAAAUGGAUGAUAACAGCAAACAGCAACUUGUACCAGUUGACAUCAAUAAAGCCAUGUGCUAUGCCUGAGUCAGCGCCCUAUGGGCAUUUCCAAAAUUAGAAAUUCCCACUGCAGGCCAGUCUCUUCUGACUUCUGAGUAUUUUUAACAGUGCCAGCUUCUCCGAGUCUGACUCACUAAGGUUUGGGGCUGGAACUAGAAUUCCCAAAUGAGGAAGAAAAUCCCACCUAUUAUCUUGCUUCCUUCCAGCUUCCAGGUUCUUCAGUUGAAGUCACCACAGACUAAUCGAGCAGACUUUCCUGAAGUUUUUACAGUGGAAAUGGGAUCUUAAGAGAGAAAUUUUGAAAAUAUUUUCCUCUGUUUACCUGUGACAGGCUGGGGUGGAUCUAUAAUCUGAGUUUGGCCAACCAAAUUCUCCUCAGAGCCUGGGCAAGCAAGGCAAGGACAGAGAACUGGUGGGCAGGUCAAAGGGAGGUUAAAAUGUCCACUACCAAAGAGAACCCCCUGGAAAAGCACUGCCACGCCUUCCAUGACUGCUUUGUGCGGAAGCACUUGGUAACUUCCUGUUGGACAGCUCUCCCUGCUGCUGACCACACGUACAUCUUGGGGAGUUCUUGGUGGAAAAAGCCCUCACUGGUGAGUUCUCGCCUUCCUUCCUUCCCGCCAUGUAGGUAUUAUAA